rnacentral:rRNA from 1 species
UACAGAGGUCUCAAGCGUUGUUCGGAUUCAUUGGGCGUAAAGGGUGCGUAGGCGGCGCGGUAAGUCGGGUGUGAAAGUCAAGGGCUCAACCCUUGAAUGCCGGUGGAUACUGUCGGGCUAGAGUGCGGAAGAGGCGAGUGGAAUUCCUGGUGUAGCGGUGAAAUGCGCAGAUAUCAGGAGGAACACCAAUUGCGAAGGCAGCUCGCUGGGACGUAACUGACGCUGAGACGCGAAAGCGUGGGGAGCAAACAGG